AAGUCGGGUGUGAAAUACCUCGGCCCAACCGAGGAACUGCGCCCGAUACUGCAGGUCUUGAGGACAGGAGGGGAGCGUGGAAUUCCUGGUGGAGCGGUGAAAUGCGUUGAUAUCAGGAGGAACACCGGCGGCGAAGGCGACGCUCUGGCCUGUUUCUGACGCUGAGGUGCGAAAGCCAGGGGAGCAAACGGGAUUAGAUACCCCGGUAGUCCUGGCCGUAAACGAU
rnacentral:rRNA from 1 species